GUAGGUGGCAAGCGUUGUCCGGAAUUAUUGGGCGUAAAGCGCGCGCAGGCGGUCCUUUAAGUCUGAUGUGAAAGCCCACGGCUCAACCGUGGAGGGUCAUCGGAAACUGGGGGACUUGAGUACAGAUGAGGAAAGCGGAAUUCCAAGUGUAGCGGUGAAAUGCGUAGAGAUUUAGAGGAACACCAGUGGCGAAGGCGGCUUUCUGGUCUGUAACUGACGCUGAGGCGCGAAAGCGUGGGGAGCAAACAGGGAUUAGAUACCCUGGUAGUCCACGCCGUAAACGAUGAGUGCUAAGUGUUAGGGGGUUUCCCGCCCCCUUAGUGCUGCAGCUAACGCAUUAAGCACUCCGCCUGGGGAGUACGGCCGCAAGGCUG
rnacentral:rRNA from 1 species